rnacentral:rRNA from 1 species
GUACACUCCUACGGGAGGCAGCAGUGAGGAAUAUUGGACAAUGGGUGGAAGCCUGAUCCAGCCAUCCCGCGUGCAGGAAGACGGCCCUAUGGGUUGUAAACUGCUUUUAUCUGGGGAUAAACCUACUUACGUGUAAGUAGCUGAAGGUACCAGAAGAAUAAGCACCGGCUAACUCCGUGCCAGCAGCCGCGGUAAUACGGAGGGUGCAAGCGUUAUCCGGAUUUAUUGGGUUUAAAGGGUCCGUAGGCGGACUGUUAAGUCAGUGGUGAAAUCCGACAGCUUAACUGUCGAACUGCCAUUGAUACUGUUAGUCUUGAGUAAGGUUGAAGUGGCUGGAAUAAGUAGUGUAGCGGUGAAAUGCAUAGAUAUUACUUAGAACACCAAUUGCGAAGGCAGGUCACUAAGUCUUAACUGACGCUGAUGGACGAAAGCGUGGGGAGCGAACAGGAGUAGAAACCCGAGUAGUCCCAUG